CCAUCGACGCCGCGUGAGGGAUGAAGGUCUCGGAUUGUAAACCUCUUUCAGUAGGGAAGAAGCGAAAGUGACGGUACCUAAAGAAGAAGCACCGGCUAACUAUGUGCCAGCAGCCGCGGUAAUACAUAGGGUGCAAGCGUUGUCCGGAAUUAUUGGGCGUAAAGAGCUCGUAGGUCGUUUGUCGCGUCGAUUGUGAAAAUCUGAGGCUCAACCUCAGACCUGCAGUCGAUACGGGCAAACUAGAGUGUGGUAGGGGAGACUGGAAUUCCCGGUGUAGCGGUGGAAUGCGCAGAUAUCAGGAGGAACACCAAUGGCGAAGGCAGGUCUCUGGGCCAUAACUGACACUGAGGAGCGAAAGUGCGGGGAGCGAACAGGAUUAGAUACCCUGGUAGUCCGCACCGUAAACGGUGGGCACUAGUUGUGGGAACCUUCCACGGUUUCCGCGACGCAGCAAACGCAUUAAGUGCCCCGCCUGGGGAGUACGAUCGCAAGAUUAAAACUCAAAGGAAUUGACGGGGCCCCGCACAAGCAGCGGAGCAUGCGGCUUAAUUCGACGCAACGCGAAGAACCUUACCAAGGCUUGACAUAUAGCGAAAAGUGGCAGAGAUGUCAUUGUCUGCAAGGGCGCUAUACAGGUGGUGCAUGGUUGUCGUCCAGCUCGUGU
rnacentral:rRNA from 1 species